GAAAUCUGCAUUUUUGUUUUCAUAAUUUAGGCCAUGUGAAAUCCUGAGAACCUUGAAAGAGAUGUGGCAGUCUACCCCCUGCUCCUUGGCAUAAAAUCCAUAUGACAAGCUCAACCUUGCAAGGCUUUUGUCACUGUGGGGCAGAAUGACCAACUCUUGACAAUGGAGUGUGAGCAGGUGUGCCAUUUCUAGACUGAGAUGGCUAAUUACUCUUACAGGAUUAUCAACUUCGGCCCACAGAACCAGAUGACAAUGACCUUCCAAUCAACUCUGAUAAUGGGGACCAGCUCUACCCCGAGAAUGACAAUGCCCCUAGUCAUCAGGAAGUAGCUUGAAGAGUAAACAUCACCCCUAUGCCCUCCACACCAUCACCACCUUCCUAGCUCCUCACUUCUUAAUAAAACAAAAAGGGAGGGAUGUCCGGAUCCAUAAGCAGGCAUUUCUAUAGCCAGCCCCAAGGGACCUGACAAACCAGAUUAUCAGGCAUCUUUGAGGCCACCUACAGACCACCUGAAACCACCUGCACAUGCUCUGGGUCACCUUAUGAGAGAACUCACACCCCCCUCCUUGCCUGCCCAGAGACAGUCUCUGUGACCCCCCCUUCCCUUAAUAAAA